CAAAAGGACUCGGGAUAGCUCAGUUGGUAGAGCAGAGGACUGAAAAUCCUCGUGUCACCAGUU
rnacentral:tRNA from 1 species